AUGGGGAUGCAGAGCUGGUGGGAUAGUGCCGUGGCCUGAGCCCCUCUCCUCCUCGCAGUGCUCGCCCACGGCUCAGGUUCCCUGGUCCAGGCAGCGCUGACUCAGCCGCCCUCUGUGUCGAAAAACCUGGGAGAAACCGUCCAGAUCACCUGCUCAGGUGCUAGCGGCAACUAUGGCUGGUUCCAGCAGAAGGUUCCUGGCACUGCCCCUGUCACUGUGAUCUACUACAACGACAAGAGACCCUCGGGCAUCCCUGCGCGAUUCUCCGGAUCCAAAUCUGGCUCCACGGGCACCUUAACCAUCACUGGGGUCCAAGCCGAGGACGAGGCUGUCUAUUACUGUGGUGGUUACGACGGCAGCAGUUCCCUGGUCCAGGCAGCGCUGACUCAGCCGCCCUCCGUGUCGAAAAACGUGGGAGAAACCGUCCAGAUCACCUGCUCUGGGCUUAGCAGCAGCAGCAAUGCUGGCUGGUACCAGCAGAAGGUUCCCGGCACUGCCCCUGUCACUGUGAUCUACAAGAGCAACCAGAGACCCUCAGACAUUCCUUCAUAA